AUCUUGCGCAAUGGGCGAAAGCCUGACGCAGCCAUGCCGCGUGAAUGAUGAAGGUCUUAGGAAUGUCUAAUUCUUUCACCGGGGACGAUAAUGACGGUACCCGGAGAAGAAGCCCCGGCUAACUUCGUGCCAGCAGCUGCGGUAAUACGAAGGGGGCUAGCGUUGCUCGGAAUUACUGGGCGUAAAGGGCGCGUAGGCGGACCGUUAAGUCAGAGGUGAAAUCCCAGUGCUCAACCCUGGAACUGCCUUUGGUACUGGCGAUCUUGAGUAUGAGAGAGGUAUGUGGAACUCCGAGUGUAGAGGUGAAAUUCGUAGAUAUUCGGAAGAACACCAGUGGCGAAGGCGACAUACUGGCUCAUUACUGACGCUGAGGCGCGAAAGCGUGGGGAGCAAACA
rnacentral:rRNA from 1 species